GACGAACGCUGGCGGCGUGCUUAAUACAUGCAAGUCGAACGGAGUUAAGGGUUUCGGCUUUAACUUAGUGGCGAACGGGUGAGUAACGCGUGAAUAACCUGACUCAAAGAGGGGGGAUAACAACGGGAAACUGUUGCUAAUACCGCAUGAGACCACAACACCGCAUGAUGAAGGGGUCAAAGAUUUAUCGCUUUGAGAGGGGUUCGCGUCCCAUUAGCUUGUUGGUGGGGUAACGGCUCACCAAGGCGACGAUCCCUAGCUGGUCUGAGAGGAUGACCAGCCACACUGGAACUGAGACACGGUCCAGACUCCUACGGGAGGCAGCAGUGGGGAAUAUUGCACAAUGGGCGAAAGCCUGAUGCAGCGACGCCGCGUGAGCGAAGAAGUAUUUCGGUAUGUAAAGCUCUAUCAGCAGGGAAGAUAAUGACGGUACCUGACUAAGAAGCGCCGGCUAAAUACGUG
rnacentral:rRNA from 1 species